rnacentral:rRNA from 1 species
AGAGCGACCGGUGCUUGCACUGGUCAAUCUAGUGGCGAACGGGUGAGUAACACGUGGGUAACCUGCCCAUCAGAGGGGGAUAACAUUCGGAAACGGAUGCUAAAACCGCAUAGGUUCUUUAGUCGCAUGACUGAAGAAGGAAAAGAGGCUUCGGCUUCUGCUGAUGGAUGGACCCGCGGUGCAUUAGCUAGUUGGUGAGGUAACGGCUCACCAAGGCCGUGAUGCAUAGCCGACCUGAGAGGGUGAUCGGCCACAUUGGGACUGAGACAUGGCCCAAACUCCUACGGGAGGCAGCAGUAGGGAAUCUUCCGCAAUGGACGCAAGUCUGACGGAGCAACGCCGCGUGAGUGAAGAAGGAUUUCGGUUCGUAAAACUCUGUUGUUAGAGAAGAACAGCGCAUAGAGUAACUGUUAUGCGUGUGACGGUAUCUAACCAGAAAGCCACGGCUAACUACGUGCCAGCAGCCGCGGUAAUACGUAGGUGGCAAGCGUUGUCCGGAUUUAUUGGGCGUAAAGCGAGCGCAGGCGGUCAAUUAAGUCUGAUGUGAAAGCCCCCGGCUCAACCGGGGAGGGUCAUUGGAAACUGGUUGACUUGAGUGCAGAAGAGGAGAGUGGAAUUCCAUGUGUAGCGGUGAAAUGCGUAGAUAUAUGGAGGAACACCAGUGGCGAAGGCGACUCUCUGGUCUGUAACUGACGCUGAGGCUCGAAAGCGUGGGUAGCAAACAGGAUUAGAUACCCUGGUAGUCCACGCCGUAAACGAUGAGUGCUAAGUGUUGGAGGGUUUCCGCCCUUCAGUGCUGCAGU